GUCAUUGAGGCUAGCGCUAAGAAGCAGAACCACUCUUCCUUUACUUUCUUUUUUUCUUUUAUUAGUGACUCAGCACUUUGGCAUGUCUUGACAAAGAGUAAAGCUGAAGUCAUGCACGAAGUUUUACAAAGAGAAAAAAAAUAAGCUAAAGCUAUGUUUUUUGAAAAAAAAAAAAUUUUUUUUCAGUGACCAGAUUAACAGGCUAGAAUUUAGCGUUCCAGUUAAUUUGUAUUUGUAAAAACCAAAGAUGUUCUGAACUGAGUUUCCUCUGACUCCAUCGCAGCCCCCCAAGCCUGGGAUUAUGAAGAAGGUAAUACUACCAGUCAUCUGAGUUCUUCUGUGUUCUGGCUCUCCCUGUGAGCGGCUGUUGUAGAACUGCCUGGCCAUCCUCAAAUUUCGUGCAGUUACUUCAAGGCGUCUCCAGGUGGAGUGUGUGACUCCUUUUUGCCACCGCGUGGCUUCUGCCACUUUCUUCACCUGCUUCAGCCCACUUAGAGGAGGUUGGCUGCUGCCCUGCCCUCUCCCAAGUGACCCCUUGGGAAUCCUCCCAGUGAGGACUUUGCUCUCUGUGCCAGAGGUUUGCCUUGUGCUGCCAGUGCUCUCCCCAUUGCCACUGAGUCUCUUCACCACUGUUUCACUGGGGCACCUGCAUGGGCCCCAGGUCUCCUGGAGCCCUGAAAUUACUGAAGCCCACUUGGUUCAGGGCAGAAAGGGGGAGAAUACUACUCACCUCUUUGUUGGGGAUGUCAAAGGAGGACCUUGUGGCAUCUUGCAGAGUUUGUGUUUAUCGCUCCCUCUCCCUGUAAGUCUUGAUUUGAAAUCAAAA
rnacentral:lncRNA from 1 species